AGAGUUUGAUCCUGGCUCAGAACGAACGCUGGCGGCGUGGAUAAGACAUGCAAGUCGAGCGCUGAUUACAGGGUAGCAAUAUUCUGUAGUUGGAGCGGCGCAAGGGUGCGUAACACGUGGGUAAUCUGCCAUAAAGAUUGGAAUAACUUGCUGAAAGGCGAGCUAAUACCGAAUGUGACGAUUGGGAGGCAUCUUCCGAUUUUCAAAGCUGGGGAUCCGUAAGGACCUGGCGCUUUAUGAUGAGCCCGCGGCCUAUCAGCUAGUUGGUGAGGUAAUGGCUCACCAAGGCUAAGACGGGUAGCUGGUCUGAGAGGACGACCAGCCACACUGGAACUGAGACACGGUCCAGACACCUACGGGUGGCAGCAGUCGAGAAUUUUUCACAAUGGGCGCAAGCCUGAUGGAGCGACGCCGCGUGGGGGAUGAAUGGCUUCGGCCCGUAAACCCCUGUCAUUUGCGAACAAGUUGGUUAAGUUAAUAGCUGAACCAUUGAUAGUAGCGAAAGAGGAAGGGACGGCUAACUCUGUGCCAGCAGCCGCGGUAAUACAGAGGUCCCAAGCGUUGUUCGGAUUCACUGGGCGUAAAGGGUGCGUAGGUGGUGAGGUAAGUCGGAUGUGAAAUCUCCGAGCUCAACUCGGAAAUGGCAUUGGAAACUACCUUGCUAGAGGGUUGGAGGGGGGACUGGAAUACUUGGUGCAGCAGUGAAAUGCGUAGAUAUCAAGUGGAACACCAGUGGCGAAGGCGAGUCCCUGGACAACUCCUGACACUGAGGCACGAAAGCUAGGGGAGCAAACAGGAUUAGAUACCCUAGUAGUCC
rnacentral:rRNA from 1 species